rnacentral:rRNA from 1 species
AUUGAACGCUGGCGGCAUGCUUUACACAUGCAAGUCGAACGGUAACAGGCCGCAAGGUGCUGACGAGUGGCGAACGGGUGAGUAAUGCAUCGGAACGUGCCCAGUCGUGGGGGAUAACGCCGCGAAAGCUGCGCUAAUACCGCAUACGAUCUAUGGAUGAAAGCGGGGGACCGGAAGUCUGCGCGCGAUUGCAGCGGCCGAUGUCAGAUUAGGUAGUCGGUGGGGGAAAGGCCUACCAAGCCAACGAUCUGUAGCUGGUCUGAGAGGACGACCAGCCACACUGGGACUGAGACACGGCCCAGACUCCGACGGGAGGCAGCAGUGGGGAAUUUUGGACAAUGGGCGCAAGCCUGAUCCAGCAAUGCCGCGUGCAGGAAGAAGGCCUUCGGGUUGUAAACUGCUUUUGUACGGAACGAAAAGGCUCUGGUUAAUACCUGGGGCUCAUGACGGUACCGUAAGAAUAAGCACCGGCUAACUACGUGCCAGCAGCCGCAGUAACAC